rnacentral:misc_RNA from 1 species
GAUGAAGAACGUAGCGAAAUGCGAUAAGUAAUGUGAAUUGCAGAAUUCAGUGAAUCAUCGAAUCUUUGAACGCACCUUGCGCCCUUUGGCUAUUCCGAAGGGCAUGCCUGUUUGAGUAUCAUGAACAUCUCAACUCCUCACGGUUCGCCCGUGACGAGCUUGGACUUUGGGGGUCUUGCCGGCCUGCGGGUCAGCUCCUCUCAAAUGAAUCAGCUUGCCGGUGUUUGGUGGCGUCACAGGUGUGAUAAAUAUCUACGCUUGUGGUUUUCCGCCAGGUAACCUCCAGCGAUGGGGGUUCACUGGAGCUCACGAAUGUCUCUCCUCGGUGAGGACAGCUCUUUGAACGUUUGAUCUCAAAUCAGGUAGGGCUACCCGCUGAACUUAAGCAUAUCAAUAACGGAGGA